AAGUCCGGGGCUUAACCCCGGAUCUGCGGUGGGUACGGGCAGACUAGAGUGCAGUAGGGGAGACUGGAAUUCCUGGUGUAGCGGUGGAAUGCGCAGAUAUCAGGAGGAACACCGAUGGCGAAGGCAGGUCUCUGGGCUGUAACUGACGCUGAGGAGCGAAAGCAUGGGGAGCGAACAGGAUUAGAUACCCUGGUAGUCCAUGCCGUAAACGUUGGGCACUAGGUGUGGGGACCAUUCCACGGUUUCCGCGCCGCAGCUAACGCAUUAAGUGCCCCGCCUGGGGAGUACGGCCGCAAGGCUAAAACUCAAAGGAAUUGACGGGGGCCCGCACAAGCGGCGGAGCAUGCGGAUUAAUUCGAUGCGACGCGAAGAACCUUACCAAGGCUUGACAUGUUCUCGAUCGCCGUAGAGAUACGGUUUCCCCUUUGGGGCGGGUUCACAGGUGGUGCAUGGUUGUCGUCAGCUCGUGUCGUGAGAUGUUGGGUUAAGUCCCGCAACGAGCGCAACCCUCGUUCCAUGUUGCCAGCACGUCGUGGUGGGGACUCAUGGGAGACUGCCGGGGUCAACUCGGAGGAAGGUGAGGACGACGUCAAAUCAUCAUGCCCCUUAUGUCUUGGGCUUCACGCAUGCUACAAUGGCCGGUACAAUGGGUUGCGAUACUGUGAGGUGGAGCUAAUCCCAAAAAGCCGGUCUCAGUUCGGAUUGGGGUCUGCAACUCGACCCCAUGAAGUCGGAGUCGCUAGUAAUCGCAGAUCAGCAACGCUGCGGUGAAUACGUUCCCGGGCCUUGUACACACCGCCCGUCAAGUCACGAAAGUUGGUAACACCCGAAGCCGGUGGCCUAACCC
rnacentral:rRNA from 1 species